rnacentral:rRNA from 1 species
UACGAAGGGUGCUAGCGUUGUUCGGAAUCACUGGGCGUAAAGCGCGCGUAGGCGGCGUUUCAAGUCAGGGGUGAAAUCCUUGGGCUCAACCCAAGAAUUGCCUUUGAAACUGUAACGCUGGAGUGUCGGAGGGGAUAGCGGAAUUGCUAAUGUAGAGGUGAAAUUCGUAGAUAUUAGCAGGAACACCGGUGGCGAAGGCGGCUAUCUGGACGACAACUGACGCUGAGGCGCGAAAGCAUGGGGAGCGAACAGG